AGGACGAACGCUGGCGGCGUGCUUAACACAUGCAAGUCGAGCGGAAAGGCCUUUCGGGGUACUCGAGCGGCGAACGGGUGAGUAACACGUGAGUAAUCUGCCCAUCGCUUCAGGAUAGCCAUCGGAAACGGUGAUUAAUACUGGAUAUGACAUUCCUUCGCAUGUUGGGGUGUGGAAAGUUUUUUCGGCGGUGGAUGUGCUCGCGGCCUAUCAGCUUGUUGGUGGGGUAAUGGCCUACCAAGGCUUUGACGGGUAGCCGGCCUGGAGAGGGUGACCGGCCACGACGUGGGACUGAGACACGGCCCAGACUCCGUACGGGAGGCAGCAGGUGGGGAAUAGUUGGACAAGUGGGACGGAAGCCUGGAUCCAGCCAACGCCGCGUGAGGAUGACGGCCGUUCGGGUUGUAACCUUCUUC
rnacentral:rRNA from 1 species